CCAGCUCGACGUUAGAGCCCGCCACGUGGCCUGGGGGUCUCUCCAGUGGCACUUACCGGGCGCGCGCGCCCCUCCUGUCCCCGGGCCCGCUUCGUCGGGGCGGAGCUCGGCACCCCCUCGGGAGAGGCCUCCCAGCCCCCAGGGGAGCUCCUGUGAGGGCCCCUCUGGGGCGGGGACGUCCUCAGUGUGCCGGGGACCCUUCCUCCCCGGGAAUGACCCUCCUGGCGCCUAAAGACCCCCUUUUCCUCCCAGGGACCGAGGCGCCCGGCACCUUCUGUACCUGUGACCCCGACGCCCAAGGGAUCCAGGCCACAGGGAGCUUCAAGCUCCUUUGCAAUGAAAAAAGAAAACAACAAACAAAACUUCGAGAAUGAAACUGACCGAGGACGGAGGCGCAGAGCCCGGGACGGUGUCCGUGUUCUAGGCGCACGCGGGGGCCCCCGCCCGCCCGGUGGCUCUGACGACCCCGGAACGGCCAGUUUAGGAAGCGGGUUAAGAUCACAAGCCUGAAACACUUUUAAGCUUCAGAGCAGAGCAGUGUUAAUUCCGGUGUUGGCGAGAAACGGAGGGAAUUUCGCCCACACAGACACUCCCCUGCCACAAGUGCCUUCCAGUUGCCACUUCUCCCGGCGGUUGGGCUCUUUAAAAGGUCUGGCGUUGAGUCUUGCGGAAGCGGUUAACUACUGUGAGCCUUAAUGAGGGAGCAAUUUUCUCCCCGAACUUUUCAGGACUGACAGUGCGUUAUGCAGCAGGGGACCCUCUUCCAACAUUUUCAGGCUGUGAGGCUCGUCAUGGUUGUCUGUCCUGGGAAAAAGUCGGCACUGUUGGGGUUUUGUGUCCGCCAAGAUAAAGAGGAAGGGUUGCCCUAGAGAAAGUUUGUCUGAAAAAAGAGUUUCUAAGUUUCGGUGUGGCUCUCUUCGGCAUCAGUGGGCAUUUUUACUGUGUUUUACUGCUAUACGUUCCUAUAGAAAGGAUUACUCUCUAAAUUCCAUAAAAUUUGUAGAGAUCUAAAUUUAGAGUUGAGCGAAUGAAAUGAAGGAAUCGUUAUAGGUAUCAUUGGUACCGCUUAGUAAUCUUCUCUUGAAAUGUGAGGCUUGUGGGGUGUUUUACAUAUUUGCCUCAGUGGUGAAAGACCCUUUUACUGAUCAGAAAAUAACUUAUUUUACUAAUUAGGAAACCAAAUGGGACAUCAAUUUUAUCCUGCUUUUAAAGAGGAAACAAGGAGCAGCGUUGCAAACUGUCCUAGGCACCCCCUUUCCAGCCAUAUAUAUGGGGUGGGAGCACACAGUUUUCCCUGCCCCGACUACCUGGAUCUCUGGUGAAUGGCACUACCACAGAGAGAAAUGCAGUGCUCAGGCUUUGUCUUACAAUUGGUUUAGAUGUUGGGGAUUCCUGCUGAGCCAAAUGGUUGCCUCUGGGAGAGGGACAUGGGCUGAGAGAGCCAGGCAGCAGGUCAAGGAAGCAGCAGCCUGAGCCAGUGUCUGUUUAAGGACUGGAAACUGAGCAAGUGCUGAGGACUGUUGUACACUCCCUGGGCUCUGCCUCUGGGUAAGCAAGUCUCAGGCUUCCUUUGGUUUUUUUUAAUGUUAAAGUUUAUUUCCCUCUUUCCUAGGUAAAUACUGUUGCUAGUAAUGUUUAUUUUUUCCAAAUUGAUAAUGUUCCAUGCAACUGUAACAGGGAGAUUGGAAGGUUGGUGACUGCUGGCUUUCUGUAAAAUGGAUUCCCAGAGUAUUGGCACUUAGUUCACUACUUAUUUUACUCCUGGCUGGAAAUGACAGGAGAUUCCCAGUGUCAGGAAGUUUGGAGAAUGUAGCUGUUUUAAAGGAACUCUACUUAAAGGUAGCUUUUUAUUCAUCAAAGGUAGCUGGUAGGUAGCCCAAUAAAAGACUCUUUACCAAACACACACAUAUACACACACACAAAACCAUAAAAAGUUAGCAUAUAAUAUUCUUAACAUUGUUUUUCUCAAUUUCCUACCAGGCUCAGUCCAGUUCAAGAUGCUGGCAAACAGGUAUGGACCAAAUGGAAAGAAUUUGGCUUGAGUUAAUAAAUACGAAUAGAAUUCUUGGCCAAGGAUGAGAACUCUAAUCUGAUUGGAUAUCCUGCUCUGAUGGGUUAAAGGAUUUACCUGAGGCCAACUUGAUAGGGCUGGUGCUUGAAAGCUUUUCGAGGAGACAAGGUGUAUUUGAACAUGUGACGAUUGAUAUAUACAGGAUAGAGGUUUUUGCUUACUGUCCCUUUCAUGGUGGUAGCAGGGGAGGACUUUUGAAAAGGUGCCAAAUAUCUGCAAGAACAUAUAUCUGCCCCAUAGAGAAUUUCUGUAGAAUUCAACUCCAUUUAAACUAUUUAAAAUCAUUUUUCUGCCAGCCAGCCCCAGCCUGCAGCUCAACAUAGUAACUAGACUAGCUAUUCUAUCAAUACAGCUAUCUUAAGAAAACUGUCAGCUACUUGAAUUUACAAAGGUUAGUUCUAAAUCCCAUACUUUUAACUAUUCUAAACAUUGUAUGUUUCAAAGUAUCCUUUUAAAGACUUGUUUUUUUGUGCUUACAGUUUUUCCUAUAAUAGAUUAUUUUGAUGAUUAAGUUUGACCCCUUUGACAGAGCAGUGGAUUCCUAAGGAUCAGGGAGGAGUUUGUUGCAUAGGGUUUGGUCGGGGGUGGGUGUUGAAGAACUGCUCUACACUUUGAUUAUGGUGCUGUUUGCCUUUGUCAAAUUUUGGAGUGAGUUUUACUGAAUGUAAAUUCAACUUCAAUAAACAUGGCCUUAAAAACUUACCCUUUCUGGCAUCUUAAUGACAUUUCCAAUGAAAUCUGUGGGAAGACAGUCUUAGGUCAGUAAUUGAAUGAUUUACUGAGAUUAGAGUGGCAAAAACAUCCAAAUUACCUUGGGGUCAUGUAAGUGACUCGUGCACAAGUAAAUACUCAAGAAACAAUCAGUGUAUAUCCUCCCCUAUCAAGGGUGCACAGGUUCUCUCUAUGGAUGGUUCAGGCAACAGCACAUGCUCAUUGUCUUAACAGCUGCAUUUUCAAUCCAUUUGGCAGGAUGUGAGCGGUCUGGCACUUUUCUCUGCAUCUCUUGACAAUGUAUACUAGUGGCGAUAUGGUAGCAGAAAAUGAAGUGAGAAAAUUGUUACCCAACAAAAUUUAGAACGGCUUUGGCCGAUACUGGCUAAAACAGGGAAUUAAGUGAGAGAAUUAAGGAGUAAGUGAGGUUCUAGGUGCUGAGUAAUUGGGUUUGGGUUAAUCUCAAAGCUUGAUGCAUAAGUCACAUGGAUUACUUUUUCUCCGGGGAUAUUCAAGGGUGUUUUUGAAAAGAGGGAUGGGGACUUCCCUGGUGGUCCAGUGGUUGAGGCUCUGAGCUUCCACCGCAGGGGACACUGGUUCGAUCCCUGGUUGGGGAAGUUCCACAUACUGCGCAGUGUGGCCAAAAAAAAAAAAUUAAAGCAAUAAACAAUUAAGUAAGAUGUUAUUUCCUUAAAAAAAAAAAAAAAGAACGAUGGGCCACCCUUGGGCCAUCUUGCCUGUAGGAUGAAGCAGUGCCUUCAGAUGCCUCCUUGUGCUUCCAGGUCUUCAUAGUUCAAGAGAAUAUUCCAAACUAAGGUAUGUAUUUUUUUUUGAGGUUCCACAAACAAAUAUUUAUAUAAUUUGGUAAAUAUCUACUAUGUUUCCCUUGUGUGUUAAGUCCUGUGAUGGAUGAUUCCUGCCUUUAUGGAACUUACACAGUGUGGUUUAUCUGUGACACUUUGUAAGAUGAAGCUGGUUAGAAUGUGCCUCCCUCAACUUCUCUUUUAAGGAAUAACUUCACUCAGUAUCUGAGUCAAUAUCUGAAAGAUUCAAUUGUUAGGACAGACUAUAAAGAGACUAUUAUAUCUAUGUAUACCCCCACCACAUUCCCAGAAUGACUUGGGGUGGCUUAUAAACAAAUGGCAAACAGUACAAUAAUUAGAGGAGGGAAUAAAAGCUCAGCAAGAAGAGAGCAGGGUAUAAAACCAAACCAUUAGACCUCAUGCUUUAGGCUCCCGCCAGUUUGGCUCUGAGCUUCCUAGGAGCCAGAGGAAAUCCGGUUGGCAAAUUUGUCAUUUGGCACUUGAAUAUAAAUUU